CUGGCAACUCGGAAGGCUGAAGUCUUCGAUUUAUCCACAGCAUUGGGCAUGGCAGCUACCCUACGUUGCCCUGCCCUUGUGCCUCCUCCCUGACCUGGAACGAUCAUUGAAAGGAGUGUGAGACUUGCUCAUUCUCCAUGCCCAGUCAGUCAUUGACUGCU
rnacentral:sRNA from 1 species